rnacentral:rRNA from 1 species
AUUGAACGCUGGCGGCAUGCCUUACACAUGCAAGUCGAACGGUAACGCGGGGCAACCUGGCGACGAGUGGCGAACGGGUGAGUAAUGCAUCGGAACGUGCCCAGUAGUGGGGGAUAGCCCGGCGAAAGCCGGAUUAAUACCGCAUACGACCUACGGGUGAAAGGGGGGGAUCGCAAGACCUCUCGCUAUUGGAGCGGCCGAUGUCAGAUUAGGUAGUUGGUGGGGUAAAGGCCUACCAAGCCUACGAUCUGUAGCUGGUCUGAGAGGACGGCCAGGCCAAGUGGGACUGAGACACGGCCCAGACUCCUACGGGAGGCAGCAUUGGGGAAUUUUGGACAAUGGGCGCAAGCCUGAUCCAGCCAUGCCGCGUGCGGGAAGAAGGCCUUCGGGUUGUAAACCGCUUUUGUCGGGGAAGAAAUCUUCUGGGCUAAUACCUCGGGAGGAUGACGGUACCCGAAGAAUAAGCACCGGCUAACUACGUGCCAGCAGCCGCCGUAA